GUGUCAGCAGCCGCGGUAAUACGUAGGGGGCAAGCGUUGUCCGGAUUUAUUGGGCGUAAAGAGCGUGUAGGCGGCCAGACAGGUCCGUUGUGAAAACUCGAGGCUCAACCUCGAGACGUCGAUGGAAACCGUCUGGCUAGAGUCCGGAAGAGGAGAGUGGAAUUCCUGGUGUAGCGGUGAAAUGCGCAGAUAUCAGGAAGAACACCUAUGGCGAAGGCAGCUCUCUGGGACGGUACUGACGCUGAGACGCGAAAGCGUGGGGAGCGAACAGGAUUAGAUACCCCUGUAGUCC
rnacentral:rRNA from 1 species